CGUAGGGUGCAAGCGUUGUCCGGAAUUAUUGGGCGUAAAGAGCUCGUAGGCGGUUUGUCGCGUCUGCUGUGAAAACUCGGGGCUUAACCCCGGGCCUGCAGUGGGUACGGGCAGACUAGAGUGCGGUAGGGGAGACUGGAAUUCCUGGUGUAGCGGUGAAAUGCGCAGAUAUCAGGAGGAACACCGGUGGCGAAGGCGGGUCUCUGGGCCGUAACUGACGCUGAGGAGCGAAAGCGUGGGGAGCGAACAGG
rnacentral:rRNA from 1 species